rnacentral:rRNA from 1 species
GACGAACGCUGGCGGCGUGCCUAAUACAUGCAAGUUGAGCGCUGAAGGUUGGUACUUGUACCAACUGGAUGAGCAGCGAACGGGUGAGUAACGCGUGGGGAAUCUGCCUUUGAGCGGGGGACAACAUUUGGAAGCGAAUGCUAAUACCGCAUAAAAACUUUAAACACAAGUUUUAAGUUUGAAAGAUGCAAUUGCAUCACUCAAAGAUGAUCCCGCGUUGUAUUAGCUAGUUGGUGAGGUAAAGGCUCACCAAGGCGAUGAUACAUAGCCGACCUGAGAGGGUGAUCGGCCACAUUGGGACUGAGACACGGCCCAAACUCCUACGGGAGGCAGCAGUAGGGAAUCUUCGGCAAUGGACGAAAGUCUGACCGAGCAACGCCGCGUGAGUGAAGAAGGUUUUCGGAUCGUAAAACUCGGUUGGUAGAGAAGAACGUUGGUGAGAGUGGAAAGCUCAUCAAGUGACGGUAACUACCCAGAAAGGGACGGCUAACUACGUG